CAUUUUCUCUUUUACUCCCAGCUCUGAAUCCCUGCCUUAUUAUUCUGUGAAUCUUACGUUGGAUUUACAAAACAUUUAAAAUAGAAAUCUGAUCUUGCCUUUUAAAUAUUAUGUAGGAAGAAACAGGUUUUGCAGAAGAAAGAGCACAACGCAGUUAGUAGAUUGGAGGUAGGUAACUAUAAAAAAGAAAGAAAGAGAAAGAAAAUCCUUUAUUGCUCUGUUGCUUCUAGAUCAAAUGGCAUUUUUUCCUGAUCUAGUUCAGUCUAACUCAGAAUCAGGGUGAUAAUUUUUCCUGGAUUUCCACUUCUUGUCCUGUCACUUUGGCAAUGUUCCCUGCUUUGUCCCAUCCCCCUCCUUCCUGAAUCAGCUGGUGUUUAAGGGGCAGUGUAAUCUUCCUCUAAAGGCUUUGUGGAGUCAGGCUUAAGUUUUACCAUCUGCUAAGGACUGAUGUGCUCUGGAUAGGAGCAGAUGUUUAGAAAUGAGCUGGGAUUUAAUAAGAUAUCUAUGGAUUUCACAUGCCUCCAGAAGAAUUCAAAUACUAUGUCAUAGGUCCACAAGAACAUUUUAAGUGCCUCUACAUUCCUUCUGUUUGGCAACAUCCUUUACUACACAACUGCAGCCCUGCUCCAAAUGGGAAGAUGGAUGUACUCAAAGAUCUUGAGAGGCCUUCAGGAGAACAAGUGCAUGUAUACAGUUGCAAACAGACUUCCUGCUUAGGUCUUCUGGCAAUCUACUAUAGUCUAUUCCUUAUACAGGAUAUUUGGAUUUGAUUCAGUGGCAACAGAUAGGCAUUGGGAGCCAUCAGGGAUGCUAUCGAUAGGCAUAUUAGAUUGGCUUGACCUUCAAUUACAAGAAGUAUAUUUGUCUAUUCUAAGUUGUCAUACCUGGAAGACCCAGACAAAGGUGUCAAAUAUCUUAAGACACAUACCUGUGAUUACUUAUCUCAGUCUAACCUUUACUUUUUCAGGACUGCCUCAGUGUGCAUCUAAAAUCUAAGUUGGAGGCAUAAGACUAAGAUUUUUCUGUGUCUCUAGAUUAUUUUUGUCACUAAAAAGUUUUAAAUUCUCCUUGUAUACUCUUUUUUUUUUUCAGUUUAACAGAGAGUAUGAGUAAUUAUUUUGCAGUCUUUUAUUUUUUACAAUAUAUAUUAAUGUUUCCGUCCCAAAGGGAAGGGAAGCUAACCAAUCUGCAGGAAUAUAGUCAUCGUAACAGUGAGUUUGUAGUAUUCCAUGAUACACAAGGAAACAUAGGCUUUUUUUCUCUAAAGAUUGUUAUUUAUUCCGUCACCACUAGCAAGGCUACUAUUAGAGUGAAAAUUUUUAUGAUUAUGAAUUUAUCAAGACUAGACUUAUGAUAUAUUAUAGACAUAUAUAAUUAUAGAAUUACCAGUACAGAAACAGAACAGAUCCCAGAAUGGGAGAAGGAGUGUAGGGUGCCAGUAAAACAAUCUCCAAAAGAAAAUUAACCACAAAAUAACUCAAAAAUAGAACAAUUAUCUGAAAGAAAACUGACUAAUGAGGGGUCAAGAGUAAAACAAUUAUGAGAUGACCACCAAAUGGAUCAAGAUCAAAAGAAUUAUCAAACAAAAAGACUGACUACCUCCAGGAAUGGGCCCAGAAGAGAGAAGAACAGACAGUAUCUCACUUCAAAGUUGAUCCAUUGGCUGGGCAUCGGUUGGCGGGUAGUGAGAAUGACUUUGUGCAUCAAUUGUUUUUUGUAUAUAUAUAUAAUAUAUGUAUAUUAUGAUUGACAUUGCUGUUAUUGCUUUCUUUCUUUUCUGUACUAGUAAAUAGUUUUUAUCUUAACCUA